UACGUAGGGUGCGAGCGUUAAUCGGAAUACUGGGCGUAAAGCGUGCGCAGGCGGUUUUGUAAGCCAGAUGUGAAAGCCCCCGGGCUCAACCUGGGAAUGGCAUUUGGGACUGCAAGGCUUGAGUGCGGCAGAGGAGACUGGAAUUCCUGGUGUAGCAGUGAAAUGCGUAGAUAUCAGGAGGAAUACCGAUGGCGAAGGCAGGUCUCUGGGCUGACACUGACGCUCAUGCAC
rnacentral:rRNA from 1 species